AGUCGAGCGGUAGAGAGAAGCUUGCUUCUCUUGAGAGCGGCGGACGGGUGAGUAAUGCCUAGGAAUCUGCCUGGUAGUGGGGGAUAACGUUCGGAAACGGACGCUAAUACCGCAUACGUCCUACGGGAGAAAGCAGGGGACCUUCGGGCCUUGCGCUAUCAGAUGAGCCUAGGUCGGAUUAGCUAGUUGGUGGGGUAAUGGCUCACCAAGGCGACGAUCCGUAACUGGUCUGAGAGGAUGAUCAGUCACACUGGAACUGAGACACGGUCCAGACUCCUACGGGAGGCAGCAGUGGGGAAUAUUGGACAAUGGGCGAAAGCCUGAUCCAGCCAUGCCGCGUGUGUGAAGAAGGUCUUCGGAUUGUAAAGCACUUUAAGUUGGGAGGAAGGGUUGUAGAUUAAUACUCUGCAAUUUUGACGUUACCGACAGAAUAAGCACCGGCUAACUCUGUGCCAGCAGCCGCGGUAAUACAGAGGGUGCAAGCGUUAAUCGGAAUUACUGGGCGUAAAGCGCGCGUAGGUGGUUUGUUAAGUUGGAUGUGAAAUCCCCGGGCUCAACCUGGGAACUGCAUUCAAAACUGACUGACUAGAGUAUGGUAGAGGGUGGUGGAAUUUCCUGUGUAGCGGUGAAAUGCGUAGAUAUAGGAAGGAACACCAGUGGCGAAGGCGACCACCUGGACUAAUACUGACACUGAGGUGCGAAAGCGUGGGGAGCAAACAGGAUUAGAUACCCUGGUAGUCCACGCCGUAAACGAUGUCAACUAGCCGUUGGAAGCCUUGAGCUUUUAGUGGCGCAGCUAACGCAUUAAGUUGACCGCCUGGGGAGUACGGCCGCAA
rnacentral:rRNA from 1 species